rnacentral:rRNA from 1 species
UACGUAGGGGGCAAGCGUUGUCCGGAAUCAUUGGGCGUAAAGAGCGUGUAGGCGGCCCGAUAAGUCCGCUGUGAAAGUCCAGGGCUCAACCCUGGAAUGCCAGUGGAAACUGUCGGGCUGGAGUCCGGAAGAGGCGAGUGGAAUUCCUGGUGUAGCGGUGAAAUGCGCAGAUAUCAGGAGGAACACCCGUGGCGAAGGCGGCUCUCUGGGACGGUACUGACGCUGAGACGCGAAAGCGUGGGGAGCGAACAGG